AGGGUUUGAUCAUGGCUCAGGAUGAACGCUAGCGGCAGGCCUAACACAUGCAAGUCGAGGGGCAGCACAAAGAUAGUUUACUAUCUUGGUGGCGACCGGCGCACGGGUGAGUAACGCGUAUGCAACCUACCUUAUACAGGAGUAUAGCCCGAAGAAAUUCGGAUUAAUCCUCCAUAGUAUUUUCUAAUGGCAUCAUUUGGAAAAUUAAAGCUUCGGCGGUAUAAGAUGGGCAUGCGUCCUAUUAGCUAGAUGGUAAGGUAACGGCUUACCAUGGCAACGAUAGGUAGGGGGCCUGAGAGGGUGAUCCCCCACACUGGUACUGAGACACGGACCAGACUCCUACGGGAGGCAGCAGUGAGGAAUAUUGGGCAAUGGAGGCAACUCUGACCCAGCCAUGCCGCGUGCAGGAAGAAUGCCCUAUGGGUUGUAAACUGCUUUUAUUUAGGAAUAAACCCUUCUACGUGUAGAAGGCUGAAUGUACUAAACGAAUAAGCACCGGCCAACUCCGUGCCAGCAGCCGCGGUAAUACGGAGGGUGCAAGCGUUAUCCGGAAUCAUUGGGUUUAAAGGGUCCGCAGGCGGACGUAUAAGUCAGUGGUGAAAUCCUGCAGCUUAACUGCAGAACUGCCAUUGAUACUGUACGUCUUGAAUUCGGUCGAAGUGGGCGGAAUGUGUAGUGUAGCGGUGAAAUGCAUAGAUAUUACACAGAACACCGAUAGCGAAGGCAGCUCACUAGGCCUGGAUUGACGCUCAGGGACGAAAGCGUGGGGAUCAAACAGGAUUAGAUACCCUGGUAGUCCACGCUGUAAACGAUGAUUACUCGUUUCCGGCGAUAUACAGUCGGAGACUA
rnacentral:rRNA from 1 species